CCUGUCAUGAGGGAGCAAACUUGCAAGGAGUAACUGCCGUGCAAUUGAUAGUACCUCAAGAGGAAGGGACGGCUAACUCUGUGC
rnacentral:rRNA from 1 species